GUCUAUGUUUAAAUACGGUUUCAUUAAAAUCCGUUAUUUAACAUUGUAAUUUUGGUUUACAGAAUUUGUAAGCUGUCAUAUAGAUAUCACUGUGUGAUAUACCAGUAUGUAUGUUUGAAUUGGUUUGUGCCACGACAGUAACUACCUUGCUCCACAAGUUGGUAAGGAUUAGUAAUAUGUUAUUAGAAUUAUAAUGUAUUUCGUUUAAAAGGUUGAAUUAACUAUGGAGUAUGUUAAACACAUAGUUUUGAUAAAGAGUUAUUUCCCUUGAUUUUAGAUGCUUUUCAUAUUU
rnacentral:lncRNA from 1 species